GACGAACGCUGGCGGCGUGCUUAACACAUGCAAGUCGAACGGAAAGGCCCUGCUUUUGUGGGGUUCUCGAGUGGCGAACGGGUGAGUAACACGUGAGUAACCUACCCUUGACUUUGGGAUAACUUCAGGAAACUGGGGCUAAUACCGGAUAGGAUCUCCUGCUGCAUGGUGGGGGUUGGAAAGUUUCGGCGGUUGGGGAUGGACUCGCGGCUUAUCAGCUUGUUGGUGGGGUAGUUGCUUACCAAGGCUUUGACGGGUAGCCGGCCUGAGAGGGUGACCGGCCACAUUGGGACUGAGAGACGGACCAGACUCCUACGGGAGGCAGCAGUGGGGAAUAUUGCACAAUGGGCGGAAGUCUGAUGCAGCAACGCCGCGUGCGGGAUGACGGCCUUCGGGUUGUAAACCGCUUUCGCCUGUGACGAAGCGUGAGUGACGGUAAUGGGUAAAGAAGCACCGGCUAACUACGUG
rnacentral:rRNA from 1 species